GGGGGACCAUCCUCCAAGGCUAAAUACUCCUGACUGACCGAUAGUGAACCAGUACCGUGAGGGAAAGGCGAAAAGAACCCCGGCGAGGGGAGUGAAAAAGAACCUGAAACCGUGUACGUACAAGCAGUGGGAGCACGCUUAGGCGUGUGACUGCGUACCUUUUGUAUAAUGGGUCAGCGACUUAUAUUCUGUAGCAAGGUUAACCGAAUAGGGGAGCCGAAGGGAAACCGAGUCUUAACUGGGCGUUAAGUUGCAGGGUAUAGACCCGAAACCCGGUGAUCUAGCCAUGGGCAGGUUGAAGGUUGGGUAACACUAACUGGAGGACCGAACCGACUAAUGUUGAAAAAUUAGCGGAUGACUUGUGGCUGGGGGUGAAAGGCCAAUCAAACCGGGAGAUAGCUGGUUCUCCCCGAAAGCUAUUUAGGUAGCGCCUCGUGAAUUCAUCUCCGGGGGUAGAGCACUGUUUCGGCAAGGGGGUCAUCCCGACUUACCAACCCGAUGCAAACUGCGAAUACCGGAGAAUGUUAUCACGGGAGACACACGGCGGGUGCUAACGUCCGUCGUGAAGAGGGAAACAACCCAGACCGCCAGCUAAGGUCCCAAAGUCAUGGUUAAGUGGGAAACGAUGUGGGAAGGCCCAGACAGCCAGGAUGUUGGCUUAGAAGCAGCCAUCAUUUAAAGAAAGCGUAAUAGCUCACUGGUCGAGUCGGCCUGCGCGGAAGAUGUAACGGGGCUAAACCAUGCACCGAAGCUGCGGCAGCGACGCUUAUGCGUUGUUGGGUAGGGGAGCGUUCUGUAAGCCUGUGAAGGUGUGCUGUGAGGCAUGCUGGAGGUAUCAGAAGUGCGAAUGCUGACAUAAGUAACGAUAAAGCGGGUGAAAAGCCCGCUCGCCGGAAGACCAAGGGUUCCUGUCCAACGUUAAUCGGGGCAGGGUGAGUCGACCCCUAAGGCGAGGCCGAAAGGCGUAGUCGAUGGGAAACAGGUUAAUAUUCCUGUACUUGGUGUUA
rnacentral:rRNA from 1 species